UGGGGAAUUUUGGACAAUGGGCGCAAGCCUGAUCCAGCAAUGCCGCGUGCAGGAUGAAGGCCUUCGGGUUGUAAACUGCUUUUGUACGGAACGAAACGGUCUUUUCUAAUACAGAAGGCUAAUGACGGUACCGUAAGAAUAAGCACCGGCUAACUACGUGCCAGCAGCCGCGGUAAUACGUAGGGUGCGAGCGUUAAUCGGAAUUACUGGGCGUAAAGCGUGCGCAGGCGGUUAUAUAAGACAGAUGUGAAAUCCCCGGGCUCAACCUGGGAACUGCAUUUGUGACUGUAUAGCUAGGGUACGGAAGAGGGGGAUGGAAUUCCACGUGUAGCAGUGAAAUGCGUAGAUAUGCGGAGGAACACCGAUGGCGAAGGCAAUCCCCUGGGCCUGUACUGACGCUCAUGCACGAAAGCGUGGGGAGCAAACA
rnacentral:rRNA from 1 species